GCAUCUUAAAGAAUGUUCAUUGUUACCCUGGGCCUCUAUGAAUGUCCUGUGCUACAACAAACUGUGGCUUUACACUAUUGCCUGACCUCUGCCCAUAGGCUGCUGGCACUGAAGUGGGUCACAGAAUG
ensembl:snoRNA